rnacentral:tRNA from 1 species
UUGGAUCACCUCCUAACAGGGAGACAAAACAAUGAUUUUGAUGUCUGAGUAAUUUAUUCUUAGGCCGAAAUCCUGUCACUUUAGGUCGAUCGGUACCUCAACAUUUUUUCAAAGAUUGAUGAGCAAUCAUCGAGAGAUUGAAAGAGAUGUUCAGUUCCUAAACUUUGUCUAGGUCACACCCCGCAAGGGAAGAGUCCCCUGGGCCAUUAGCUCAGGUGGUUAGAGCGCACCCCUGAUAAGGGUGAGGUCCCUGGUUCAAGUCCAGGAUGGCCCAUUCGGUGUUGGGGGUUUAGCUCAGUUGGUAGAGCGCCUGCUUUGCAAGCAGGAUGUCAGGAGUUCGAGUCUCCUAACCUCCACUGACCGAACUCAAUCUCCAUUGUCCGGUAACUCGGAGGAUGAACUCGAGGGAAUGUGAUUUAGAUGUGUCCACUAGAUAGGACCCUAGCUUCCUGUCAAAGGAAACGAGUAAGCACUCGAUUCAUUGAUAAGAUGCUGGGCUCAAAUUAAUCGAAAGAUUAAUCUGAUGUCUAGUAGAACCUUGACAACUGCAUAGGUAAGUCUGGAAAAACAAAGCAUCUUACAGAUGCAUUGUUUUGAAUCUGAUCUUCUGAAAGGAAGAUGAGUUUUAGAACAAUGAAAAUUCUUUUGAGCAAGAGCCGAGACUCUUAGAUGUUCUUUGAUUCGUGUCGAGCGAAUCAGAGUUUGAUUUUGUUUUUAUGAGCAACGAAAGUUGCUGAUGAAACCAAAAGAAUCUGCUUUCAACCGCAGUAAGCGUUUAAGAGGUUAAUUGGUCAAGCUACAAAGGGCUCACGGCGGAUACCUUGGCACACAGAGGCGAUGAAGGA